GCCGGCGUUGGCCCACCCUCUCGUAGCUCACCCCGCGAGGCUGGACAGCUCCCGGAACCCCGGAACCGGGAUCUAUUUCGGGGGCUCGGCUGCGUGGCGCCCAGGACUCUCCAGGGUCUCCCAGGAUCGCUCCCCGGAUUCGAGUCGCGCCCUCUCUCUUUCGGGAACACCCGCUGAUGUCAGCCCGCCAGCCAAAACCAGGGAGGAGAAGCGGGAGCCGGCCCUCCAGAGUCGGGAAAAGUCUUCAUCUCAGGAUCUCAAGCUCUUGGAUCAUGGGCGCAGAUAACCUGUUGUCCUCCUCUAUGGUCAAGAAGCUGCUUUUGCAAGGAAUCCAGUGGGAGAGAGUCAAUGGCCUGCUUGAUGUGAACUCCAAAGUCCUCCUGGAGCAGAGGCUCACUCUGUUGCCCACACUGGAGUGCAGUGGAAGAAUUCAUGGCACGCUGCAGUCUUGAGCUUCUGGGCUCAAGAGAUCCUCCUGCU